rnacentral:precursor_RNA from 1 species
UAUGGUCAUUACCAAGGCUCUUAGAAUGCAGUUUCUCAUUAGCUGUGGACAUGACCAUAA